UUAUCAUGCACUUGCCGCGUGUUGUCGCGUAACCUGUUGGCGGCUGCAGGAAGGGGUGUGGGGGGCCGGAGGCUUCAGCUCACACCGGGGAAAUCUUGCAGGCAUGUUACUGACGGCUGCAAAAUCUCUUUCGAUUUAGGUAAUAAGAUCAGCAAAUUAAUCCUUUCACAGAUCAUUGCCUACCUAAAUGCACUCUCCACACAUCAGAACCGGGGGCUGUGCCGAGAAUGAGGUAGCUGGGGUCUGUUUGCAGGGAUGGGGCCGGAGCAUGGUGGACUUGCCUGGCUUAGGGGCUGCAGGUCCCUGUGCAGGGCACUGGACAAGCCAAGCCAAGGAAUUUCUCCACUCUCCGUUUAUUCUGCUUGGACUGCAAAAUUCAGCCUCAGAGGGUCCCAUGACUCCUGUGAUCUGGCCUCCUACUUCUGACACUUGGAUGGGGCACUUGGGCGUCUGUGAGAGGAGAGAACAGCCCCAGAUGAGAACUGGUCACUGUGGAUUCUGACCCACAGAUUGAGGUCAGGGAGACCAGGUUCCUGAUUGGGUGGGGACGUGUGUCUGGGAGACCCUUGGGAGGACAGGGGCCAGCAGGGUGAGAAGGAGAGGCUGGAAUGGCAGAGAGAGCCUGGCCUGAGAGCAGCGAGGAUGGGGUCACAUCUGGGCACAGGUGACAUCAUGAGGGUGCCCUGACUUUGGGAAGGGGCCUCACCCUGAUGUGAUCCGUGGGGGACGCUGUAUAUGACUACAGGCUGGGGGGUCCCAGGACGAUGGUACUGGAGCUUUUGGGUGGCGCAGUUGCCCCUUGGUGGGGGCCAUUUGCUCAGGUUCACAGAGGCACUGGGCAGGGGUGAAUGUUCCUAAACCCACGGGGACUUCCGUUGUUGGAUUCUCAGAGGACAUGGAAAUGCCUUUAAAUUGAGGUUUUUAAAAAAUGUGAAAUAUAGGAUAGACUCUUUUUUUUUUGAGCUGGAGUCUCACUCUGUCACUCAGGCUGGAGUGCAGUGGCGNNNNNNNNNNNNNNNNNNNNNNNNNUGUCUCCCGGGUUCACACCAUUCUCCUGCCUCAGCCUCCUGAGUAGCUGGGAUUACAGGCACCCACCACCACGCCUGGGUAAUUUUUUGUAUUUUUAGUAGAGAAAGGGUUUCACCAUGUUAGCCAGGAUGGUCUCGAUCUCCUGACCUGGUGAUCUGCCCACCUCAGCCUCCCAAAGUGCUGGGAUUACAGGUGUGAGCCACCGCGCCCGGCCAUGGAUAGACUCUUAAAAUUAAAUAUUAAGCACAUACAAAAGAAUAUUUAGAACACAUUUGGGGCAUAAAGAAUAGCAGUCAAAACCCCGGUGCCCAGCACCCUGAGUACUUGCUAGAGGAUAACUAACGCCUCUGAGGCCCCACCAGUCCCUCCGCCAGGUGCAUAGGCUGUUUUCCAGCUGGUGCAAAGUCUGUAAUAGGCACCAUUUAAAACAUGUUUAAUUGUUUUUAAAAGUAUCAUUUCUGGAUACAAAGACUAUGUGUUUUUUGUUUGUUUUUGUUUCCAGAAAUGAUGGUUCCUUCUUCUUUCCACCAGCACAUUGUGAGCAUACGCUGCGUGGCCCAACGCCUCAGGUAUACAAAGACGCUCUUAUCCGGAGGGCUUAUCUGGCAGACUCUCCGGGGCUUAGAGGUUAGAGGUCAUCUCCUAGGAGCUGAAAUACAUUCAUAUCACAUAAAUGUAACCCUUUAAAGUACGCAAUUCAGUGGCAUUUAGUACUUUCGCCAUGUUGUGCAACCACCACCUCUAUCUGCUUUCACAACAUCUUCACACCCCAGGAAGAAACCGGUCGCCGUGAGCAGUCACCGCCCUCCCCAGCCUCAGGCAGCCCCCAGCCUGCUUCUGUUUGCCUGUUCUGGAUGUUUCAUGUCCAUGGAAUCAUAUGGUGCGUGCCUUUCGCACGUGGCUUCUCCCACCCCGCAUCUUGUUUUCAAGGUUCACCCAGCCGUAGCCGGUCAUCGCGUCAUUCCUCUUUAUGGCCGUGGAACAUUCCAUCGUGUGGCUAGGCCAUAUUUUGCGUAUCCGUUUAUCACGUGAUGAACUCUGGCCUGUUUCCACCUUUUGGCUCCUGUGAAUAGCAUUGCUGUGAUGGCUGCAAGGCAGGGGACACGGGUCAGGCUGAGGUUGGAGUGAGAGAAGUGGAGGUAAGCUGGAACUUCCUGCUUCAAUUUGAAGUGAAUUCUCAGAAUAUCAGACAUACCUGUAUUGAGUCUAAGCACGACAAAACAUUAGAAACUGGAAGCAGUGACCUUGCGUUUCCUUAUGGCUUCGAGGACUCACCUUUUGGUCUUCCCAUGUGCGGGGGGAGCUGGUGGCGGGUGACAGGCUUUAUCCCGGAGCACUGGGCACCGAGACCUAAGAUGCGGCUCGUGCAGGGAGAGGCCGGGUACCCUCCGGGGAUACGGAGGCAGCUUGCAGAGACAGCCUCUUGCUGAGUUCUUUCCUUUUAGCGUCUGCUCCUGCAGUGGCCGGGAGAGCACUGGAACCCCGUUCCUUGCUGGCUGGCCCUGAUAAUGAGAAAGUCUGUUUGUGCAGUGGUGAGGGCUGCGUCCUUGACUUCCACUCCCAAACCUGGUUUUGCCUUCCCGAAUCACCUACAAGGUACCAAAUACCUCUCAUGUGAGACAUCUCAGCCGGAGGCUCCGUGAAUGGGCCUUGGCAGACUCUGCAGUUGCCACACCUCCGUGAACGAAUGUGCUACCCUCUCUGCACACUGUGAGCCAAGGUGAAGGGUCCGCACGCCAACACCUUGUCCUGCCCCGAGAGUCCCGGCCUCUUCUCCCCUGAGUCUUUGCUGUGUUUGAAGACAUUGCUGUGGCUCCUGUAGCCUUCUCUCUUGGGCACAGCAUCCCCGGCUCUCUCCGCUCUCUUCCAUCCGGGCUGGUGUCCCUUUUUCUUCCAUCUGGGCUGGUGUCCCUUUUCCCAUCUGGUGUUGCCUGCUUAAUUCCAGGUAAUUGGGCUGAGAGGAGAUGGGGACGGGAGGUGGCAGUCAUUAUAUGCUUAGCAGCUCAUCCCGCCAGCAAGAUGAGUUUAAUUGUCCCACCUGGUGACAUCAAACAUCCUGGCCACCUGUCCUCAGUGGGUCUGCUGUGAGGGGACAGGAUGACAUGUGAGUCCCUGGGCCAGCCUAAUUGGAGAGUCUUUUUUUCCUUUUCUUUCCUUUCAUUACAAUAAUGGAUUCAACCUCCUCUGCAUAGGGAGUGGGAGGGGAGUAAUUGGAAGACAUUAAACUCCUUCCUGGGGAGGGGAGGUCAGAAGAGGCCACCUUUGGAUUGCUGAGCUUUGAGGCUGGGGUCCGGCCCCCUCCAGCGUGCUUCUGGUCACAGCGGCCAGCUCUCUGAAGGGUGGGCUCGAGUCACCAGCUGGCUUGCUCCAUCAAUCUGGCACCUCUUCCACACCCCAGGCCCCUGUUGCCCUGGUCAGUAGCACAAGCCAAGGGCAACUCAGUGAGGAGUAGCACUGGGUAGCCCCAGCUCUCCGGCCUGGCAUGGUCACUGCCUCAUUUGCACCACUGCUCCUCCUUUGCAUUCGUCCAGCCAUGGCUGGGGCCUCCAAGUUUAGGCAGAACAAACUGUGUUAGAUGGUGCGUGUGUAUGGGUGUGCGCAUGUGUGUAUGUACAUGUGCACGUACAUGUGCACAUGGGGGUAUGUGUGCAGGUGCACAUGGGUGUGUGUUUGUGUGUGCAUAUGGGUAUGUGUGUGUGUGUGUGUGUGCAGAUGAGUGCAUGUAUGUGUGCAGGUGCAUGUGGGUGUGUGCAGGUGCAGAUUUGUGUGUGUGCAGGUACAUGGGGGGUGUGUGCAUAUGCAGAUGUGUGUGUGCAGGUGCAUGGGGUAUGUGUGUGCAUGUGCAGAUGGGGGUGUGUGUGCAGGUGUGCAGGUUCAUGGAGUGUGUGUGUAUGUGCAGAUGGGUGUGUGUGUGUGUGCACACGUGUGUGUAUAUAUGCUCAUGUGCCCACACCCAUCUCUGCACUGGGAGCUCCCGGCAGGCCUAGAUCUUGCUCAUUCUGUAUCCCAGUAUCUCCAACAGUUGCGUCUGAAUGUAGGGAUCAUGCCAGCGGGAGCAGCAGGCACCCAGAGUGUUUUGGAUCCUCCCUGGGGCUUGGUUGCAGGUUCUCAAGGGCUGGUGCUCCUCAUGGUGAGGACAGGUGAAGGGAGGGUGCUCGGCUGUCCUGUCUGGGCAGUGUUGGCAUGGGGAGGGAGAGCCCAGGGCACUCAGGCCUGGCUUGGUUUCUUUUGGUUUAGGGAUGCCAAUGCUGAUGUGGCAGCCAAGGCUAGUGACAGAGCUGGCCCUAGGUGGGGAAGCGCUUUGGUGCAGCAAAGG
rnacentral:lncRNA from 1 species